UAAUGGACUUAUCAGUUUAACAAUUGGGUUAAAUUUGAACCUCAACUUUUAGUGUCAAAUUUGAACCUCAGAAACAACACAUGAAAACACCAACAAUGUCCCACUCUCACUUCAAAGCAAGCAAAAGCAACCCAUGACAUAUGGAUUGAUGGGAUUUCUUAUCCUCAGUCUUUCCAACACUUUCCAUUAUCCAGAACACUCCUCAGACCAUUACCAAUGAAAGCUUAGUCACUGCUCUAACAACCACCACCAUCAAAACUCCAUGGACGCUCUCUUCGUUAACUAGUACUCCAUCUCCGGCCUCAAACACUCCCCAAACCUCACCACCACGUUCUCCUUCCCUCCCCAAUCCUUCCACCACCUUAAAUUCACCACUUACACUGGCACCUAGCCCACCACCCUCACAAUCGUCUUCGUCAUCAACGACCAACAAGGAAGCCAAUCCAUUAAAGCCUAGAACCCACUUCAUCUCUCUUACGACAAUAAAGCUGAAGAUAUCGACAAGUCGUACAAUGAGGGUGACAAAAUCAUCGAAAGCAGAGCGUUAGAGGGCAGCAAGGGAACGCAAUACUUGAUUUCCUAGAAAGACGGCUAUACGCCCAAAGCCAAGGACAUGAUGGCAGAGUACGAGAGCCUGUGAUAGACCGCUGAUAAAUCUGCUCUGAACGAGCUUAUAGCAUCUGAGAAUGACUCACGCGACGUCGUUGACGGGGACGACCGCACGGCUUCGUCUCUGGUCUCAGGUCAGAGUUGUGUGUUCGAGUUUUAGCCGAAGCAGGGGCCAACUUGGAUCACAACGAUAAUGGCAGGAGAUCGACGACUUUGCACAUGGUGGCUGGUCAAGUUUGGCCAGGUGUCAUGAAAUUAUUGGUGGAAUGGGAGCGAAUCCCAAGGUAGAGGACGAGAUAAGACGGAAGCUGCUGGAUUUGGCUAAGUAAAUACUUAAAACAAUGCCGCAGGGAAACCCGAUUCACUUCGUAAGGCAGUUGGGGUUGAAGAGUGUGAUUAUGGAGCUGGAGGGGGUAAUAUUUGAGGCGGGCUCGAGUACCCGGUGGCAAAAUGGGUGGUGGGGAAGAGAGUCGGGGAUGAGGGGAAGAUAGAGUACUUAGUGAAAUGGACGGAUAUAGAUGAGGCCACGUGGGAGCCCGAGGAGAAUGUUGAUACUGAUUUGAUUAAAGAGUUUAUGGAGGGCCAAAAUUUGAGUGGGCCGUACAAUAUGGAGUAGGGGUGGGCAAACGGGUACAGGAACCGCGGGUAGGGGCGGGUAAUUCAGGUUCGGGGUGGGUCCAAUAUUUCUAAACACAAAACGGGGCGGGGCGGUUCGGGUAUAUGAAAUUAUUGGGGCGGGGCGAGUCUUAAAAUAGAAAGGAACGGGCCCCCGGCCCGGCCCGUUUCUUUUCCUCAUCCCUAGUCUUCUCGAUCUCUCCUCCCCGACACUUUUCAUUUCACUCAUACCCGGCCCAUUUCUUUUCCUCAUCAGUCAUCCCUAGUCUUCUCGAACUCUCUUCCCCAACUCCUUUCAUUUACCUCGAGACCUCCUCCUAACUAGCUUCCAGCCUCCCACCAUCCCAGCUCUGUACCCCGCCACCAUCAUCGUCAGACCUCCAUCUCUCCUGAUUUGCUCCUGUCUUCCUCGCUGCGUCCGCCGCCAUCUCUCUCUCUCUCUCUCUCUCUCUCUCUCUCUCUCUCUGUGACGAACUCAAAGGGACGGACGAAGUCGAACAACUCGAAACGACGCCUCCUCUGUCUAAAUUAGACCCAUAUUUGCAGCGCACGACUCUGCUCAAAGUCCUUUUCAGUUUUAAGGUAGUCCGAGAGCAGAGAGGGAUGCAGUCCGAGACGGAGCAGGUGCCACCAGAGUCGGAAAGCAUGGAGGUUUUGCUUGUGAGGAUGUUGGCCAUGGUGAGAAACGUGGCGGUGCCGGUGCGGGGCUCAGUGGAGAAGCUGUGGUGCGACGACGAAGGCAGCAUGGCGGUGGUUUUGGAGUCCUUUCCGUUUCGCAAAAAAAAAAAAAAAAAAAAAAAAAAAAACCAAGGACCGGUGGACCCGGCCCGGACCGACCCGUUUCAAACAGGCCGGGUUCGGUCCGAUUCCUGUAAUGAAAUAUGAUGUACUCGACUCGGCCUGGCCCGUUUCUUUUAACCUCCGGUUCCUUGAAAAUUAGGUCCGGCCCGGCUCGGCCCGGCCCGUGCCCACCCCUAAUAUGGAGGAGGCGCGGUUAGAACAAUAGGACUUUCUUUUGUUGUAUAUUUACUUGAAAGGGAAUUACAAAGGGUUCCUGAAAUUGACUCACAUUAUUAAGAUGAUUUUUAAAAUAAAAAAUUUAUCAAUGUAGACCUUGAAAGUGGGUGUUGCAAAUCAA